GCAACAGUCCAGGCAGGUCAGCCUGUAGAGACAAGACUUCCUACUGACAUCCAAGCUACUCGUUUGCCACAGCUGCUCCAAGGAUGGCAAUAAUGAGUGCGAGCUGCAUCAGAGAUGAGAGAUUGAACUUUAAGAAAAAUGUCGCCGGGCGCGGUGGCUCACGCCUGUAGUCCCAGCACUUUGGGAGGCCAAGACCUGGUGUCCAAGUACUUAAUUUGAUCAAAACAUGAGGAUGAGCUAAGGAAGACAGCAGACAGGCACUCUAUCAAUGUCUUAAGGUAGUUCCAAUGACAUUCUGCAACAUGAAUUAAUCUUUGAG
rnacentral:lncRNA from 1 species